GGGAACAAAAGACAGCACAGACUUAUUCAAAUCUGCAAGUUGCUAAAGGUAGAAAAGAGCCACAAUACCCCAGUGAGCCCCAUGAUUUCUGACUAAGACGUUAAAUGUGAUCAGAACGUAAUCAGAAAUAGCCAGUGAGCCUUCAUGGUGGGAUUUUGAAGAUGUUAAAGGGAACAUGUAGGUCCCAAAACUUUUUUUUCUAAACUUUAUUUAUAAUGAAGAUUAAGAAACAAAACGUUUUGACAAAUGGAAAAAUGUUGAUUUAUUGAUCCAGAGAAAGACAAAAAACAUUCGGAACAAGAAAGUCCUCUCUGACCCCAUAUUUU